rnacentral:rRNA from 1 species
GACGUAGGGCGCGAGCGUUGUCCGGAUUUAUUGGGCGUAAAGAGCUCGUAGGCGGCUUGUCGCGUCGACUGUGAAGUCCCGAGGCUCAACUUCGGGCUUGCAGUCGAUACGGGCAGGCUAGAGUUCGGUAGGGGAGACUGGAAUUCCUGGUGUAGCGGUGAAAUGCGCAGCUAUCAGGAGGAACACCGAUGGCGAAGGCAGGUCUCUGGGCCGAUACUGACGCUGAGGAGCGAAAGCGUGGGGAGCGAACAGG